CCCUUAGAUGUUCUGGGCCGCACACGCGCUACACUGAAGGAGGCAGCGUGUACUCCUGGAUCGAAAGAUUUGGGUAACCCGCGAAUCUCCUUCGUGCUAGGGAUUGAGGUUUGCAAUUAUCCUUCAUGAACGAGGAAUUCCCAGUAAGUGCAAGUCAUAAGCUUGCGCUGACUACGUCCCUGCCCUUUGUACACACCGCCCGUCGCUCCUACCGAUUGGGUGAUCCGGUGAAUGGUUCGGACUCUGGCUAUGCUAGCUACUAGCUACGUCAGGGAAAGUUCUGUGAACCUUAUCACUUGGAGGAAGGAGAAGUCGUAACA
rnacentral:rRNA from 1 species